UUAGAGUUUGAUCCUGGCUCAAGACGACCUCUGGCGGCGCGCCUAACACAUGCAAGUCGAACGAGCGAGAGAGAGCUUGCUUUCUCGAGCGAGUGGCGAACGGGUGAGUAACGCGUGAGGAAUCUGCCUCAAAGAGGGGGACAACAGUUGGAAACGACUGCUAAUACCGCAUAAGCCCACGGUGCCGCAUGGCACAGAGGGAAAAGGAGUAAUCCGCUUUGAGACGGCCUCGCGUCCGAUUAGCUAGUUGGUGAGGUAACGGCCCACCAAGGCGACGAUCGGUAGCCGGACUGAGAGGUUGAACGGCCACAUUGGGACUGAGACACGGCCCAGACUCCUACGGGAGGCAGCAGUGGGGAAUAUUGCACAAUGGGGAAACCCUGAUGCAGCGACGCCGCGUGGAGGAAGAAGGUCUUCGGAUUGUAAACUCCUGUUGUUGGGGAAGAUAAUGACGGUACCCAACAAGGAAGUGACGGCUAACUACGUGCCAGCAGCCGCGGUAAAACGUAGGUCACAAGCGUUGUCCGGAAUUACUGGGUGUAAAGGGAGCGCAGGCGGGAAGACAAGUUGGAAGUGAAAUCUAUGGGCUCAACCCAUAAACUGCUUUCAAAACUGUUUUUCUUGAGUAGUGCAGAGGUAGGCGGAAUUCCCGGUGUAGCGGUGGAAUGCGUAGAUAUCGGGAGGAACACCAGUGGCGAAGGCGGCCUACUGGGCACCAACUGACGCUGAGGCUCGAAAGUGUGGGUAGCAAACAGGAUUAGAUACCCUGGUAGUCCACACCGUAAACGAUGAUUACUAGGUGUUGGAGGAUUGACCCCUUCAGUGCCGCAGUUAACACAAUAAGUAAUCCACCUGGGGAGUACGACCGCAAGGUUGAAACUCAAAGGAAUUGACGGGGGCCCGCACAAGCAGUGGAGUAUGUGGUUUAAUUCGACGCAACGCGAAGAACCUUACCAAGUCUUGACAUCCCUUGACAGACAUAGAAAUAUGUAAUCUCUUCGGAGCAAGGAGACAGGUGGUGCAUGGUUGUCGUCAGCUCGUGUCGUGAGAUGUUGGGUUAAGUCCCGCAACGAGCGCAACCCUUAUGGUCAGUUACUACGCAAGAGGACUCUGGCCAGACUGCCGUUGACAAAACGGAGGAAGGUGGGGAUGACGUCAAAUCAUCAUGCCCUUUAUGACUUGGGCUACACACGUACUACAAUGGCGUUAAACAAAGAGAAGCAAGACCGCGAGGUGGAGCAAAACUCAGAAACAACGUCCCAGUUCGGACUGCAGGCUGCAACUCGCCUGCACGAAGUCGGAAUUGCUAGUAAUCGUGGAUCAGCAUGCCACGGUGAGUACGUUCCCGGGCCUUGCACA
rnacentral:rRNA from 1 species